rnacentral:rRNA from 1 species
GCGGACAGAAGGGAGCUUGCUCCCGGAUGUUAGCGGCGGACGGGUGAGUAACACGUGGGUAACCUGCCUGUAAGACUGGGAUAACUCCGGGAAACCGGUCGAAAUACCGGAUAGUUCCUUGAACCGCAUGGUUCAAGGAUGAAAGACGGUUUCGGCUGUCACUUACAGAUGGACCCGCGGCGCAUUAGCUAGUUGGUGAGGUAACGGCUCACCAAGGCGACGAUGCGUAGCCGACCUGAGAGGGUGAUCGGCCACACUGGGACUGAGACACGGCCCAGACUCCUACGGGAGGCAGCAGUAGGGAAUCUUCCGCAAUGGACGUAAGUCUGACGGAGCAACGCCGCGUGAGUGAUGAAGGUAAUCGGAUCGUAAAGCUCUGUUGUUAGGGAAGAACAAGUGCAAGAGUAACUGCUUGCACCUUGACGGUACCUAACCAGAAAGCCACGGCUAACUACGUGCCAGCAGCCGCGGUAAUACGUAGGUGGCAAGCGUUGUCCGGAAUUAUUGGGCGUAAAGGGCUCGCAGGCGGUUUCUUAAGUCUGAUGUGAAUGCCCCCGGCUCAACCGGGGAGGGUCAUUGGAAACUGGGAAACUUGAGUGCAGAAGAGGAGAGUGGAAUUCCACGUGUAGCGGCGAAAUGCGUAGAGAUGUGGAGGAACACCAGUGGCGAAGGCGACUCUCUGGUCUGUAACUGACGCUGAGGAGCGAAAGCGUGGGGAGCGAACAGGAUUAGAUACCCUGGUAGUCCACGCAUGCAACGAUGAGU